rnacentral:rRNA from 1 species
UGGGGAAUAUUGCACAAUGGGGGAAACCCUGAUGCAGCAACGCCGCGUGGAGGAUGAAGCAUUUCGGUGUGUAAACUCCUUUUAUUUGGGAAGAUAAUGACGGUACCAAAUGAAUAAGCACCGGCUAACUCCGUGCCAGCAGCCGCGGUAAUACGGAGGGUGCAAGCGUUACUCGGAAUUACUGGGCGUAAAGGGUGCGUAGGCGGGUUAUCAAGUCUUGAGUGAAAUCCAAUAGCUUAACUAUUGAACUGCUUGAGAAACUGGUAGCCUAGAGUAGGGGAGAGGUAGAUGGAAUUGGUGGUGUAGGGGUAAAAUCCAUAGAUAUCACCAGGAAUACUCAUUGCGAAGGCGAUCUACUGGAACUUAACUGACGCUGAGGCACGAAAGCGUGGGGAGCAAACA